UACAGAGGUCCCAAGCGUUGUUCGGAUUCACUGGGCGUAAAGGGUGCGUAGGUGGUCGGGUAAGUCUGAUGUGAAAUCUCCGAGCUCAACUCGGAAAUGGCAUUGGAUACUACUUGGCUAGAGGGUUGGAGGGGGGACUGGAAUGACUUGGUGUAGCAGUGAAAUGCGUAGAUAUCAAGUGGAACACCAGUGGCGAAGGCGAGUCCCUGGACAACUCCUGACACUGAGGCACGAAAGCUAGGGGAGCAAACAGG
rnacentral:rRNA from 1 species